ensembl:lncRNA
CUACCAGGUGGUCGCUUGGUGUCCUCCGUCGCAAUUAUUGCAUAAUCUCCAGCUGCAGUAUUUUUCCGUUUGCUUCUGAUGAGAAGCCAACUGCCACCACUGAUAGAUUAUCGAAUAGAUAUGUGAAAAACACCUUGAGGAUUGAUUCUAAACAACGUUUGCUAUGUUUCUGUCGAUAUUAUGGAGCUAAUUUGGAAAAAAGUUUGGCGUUGUAAGUGACUGCAUUUUCCGGUCUUUUUCUUAGCCAAACGUGAUGAACAAAACGGAGCUAUUUCGUCUACACAAAUAAUAUGUUUGGAAAAAAUGAACAUUUGCUAUCUAACUAAGAGUCUCGUCAUUGAAAACAUACAAAGUUCUUCAAAGGAGGGGUGCGUCACUUGCGUGGGUUGAGUCACUGAUGUGGUCUUCCUGUCUAGGUUGGCGCCCCCCUUGGGUUGUGCCGUGGCGGAGAUCUUUGUGGGCUAUACUCGGCCUUGUCUCAGGAUGGUAAGUUGGUGGUUGAAGAUAUCCCUCUAGUGGUGUUGGGGCUGUGCUUUGGCAAAGUGGGUGGGGUUAUAUCCUUCCUGUUUGGCCCUGUCCGGAGGUACCAUCGGAUGGGGCCACAGUGUCUCCUGACCCCUUCUUGUCUCAGCCUCCAGUAUUUAUGCUGCAGUAGUUUAUGUGUCGCGGGGCUAGGGUCAGUUUGUUAUAUCUGGAGUACUUAUCCUGUCUUCUCUGGUGUCCUGUGUGAAUUUAAGUAUUCUCUCUCUAAUUCUCUCUUUCUCUCUUUCUUUCUCUCUCUCGGAGGACCUGAGCCCUAGGACCAUGCCUCAGGACUACCUGGCAUGAUGACUCCUUGCUGUCCCCAGUCCACCUGGCCGUGCUGCUGCUCCAGUUUCGACUGUUCUGCCUGCGGCUAUGGAAUACUGACCUGUUCACCGGACGUGCUACCUGUCCCAGACCUGCUGUUUUCAACUCUCUAGAGACAGCAGGAGUGGUAGAGAUACUCUUAAUGAUCGGCUAUGAAAAGCCAACUGACAUUUACUGCUGAGGUGCUGACUUGCUGCACCCUGUACAAGUACUGUGAUUAUUAUUAUUUGACCAUGCUGGUCAGUUAUGAACAUUUGAACAUCUUGGCCAUGUUCUGUUAUAAUCUCCACCCGGCACAUCCAGAAGAGGACUGGCCACCCCUCAUAGCCUGGUUCCUCUCUAGGUUUCUUCCUAGGGUUUGGCCUUUCUAGGGAGUUUUUCCUAGCCACCGUGCUUCUACACCUGCAUUGCUUGCUGUUUGGGGUUUUACACUGGGUUUCUGUACAGCACUUUGAGAUAUCAGCUGAUGUACGAAGGGCUAUAUAAAUACAUUUGAUUUGAUGAUCAAUGAUAUAAAGAAUGAAAAACUUGAGACUUUAAAUUAAAUUAUGGGCAGAAAGACAUAUUCAACUCUAUCUUUCGUAGAAUCAGAUGGCUUAUUCAUCACAAAACCAUUUGAUGUUGCCAAUUAUUUGAAUGAUUAUUUAAUUGGCAGAGUGGGCAAGCUUAGGCAGGAAAUGCCCACGACAAACAGUGAGCAAUUAUAUUCAUGCAUAAAAAACUAAUAAUGAAAGGAAGGCAGUGCAAGUUUUAAUUUUGUAAAGUUAGUGUGGGAGAGGUGGAAAAAUUAUUGUUAACGAUCAAUAAUGACAAACCUGGCAUUGACAACUUAGAUGGAAAGCUACUGAGGAUGGUAGAUGACUCUAUAGCCACUCCUAUCUGUCAUAUUUUUGAUCUGAGCCUAGAGGAAAAUUUUAGUCCUCAGGCCUGGAGGGAAGCCAAAGUAAUUCCGCUACCCAAGAGUGGUAAAGUGGCCUUUAAAAUUGUGUUUGACCAAAUACAAUGUUAUUUCUCUGUAAAGAAAUUAACAACAUACUUUCAGCAUGCUUAUAGAGAAGGGCACUUAACAUGUACUGCACUGACACAAAUGACUGGUGAUUGGUUGAAAGAAAUUGAUAAGAAGAAGAUUGUGGGUGCUGUACUGUUAGAUUUCAGUGCAGCCUUUGAUAUUAUUGACCAUAAAACCUGUUGUUGAAAAAACUUAAGUGCUAUGGCUUUUCAACCUCAGCUCUGAAUCCACGAUAUGGCAAUCUAAUAGAACUCAAAGGGUUUUCUUUAAUGGAAGCAUCUCUAAAGUCAAACAUGUAAGUGUGGUGUACCGCAGGGCAGCUCUCCAGGCCCUCUCUUCUUUUCUAUUUUUACCACUGACCUGCCACUGGCAUUAAACAAAGCAUGUGUGUCCAUGUAUGCUGAUCAUUCAAUAAUAUGGACACACAUCAGCAACCACAGCUAAAGAAGUCACUGAAACCCUUAACAAAGAGUUGCGGUCUGUUUUGGAAUGG